AGUCGAGGGGCAGCAUGAACUUAGCUUGCUAAGUUUGAUGGCGACCGGCGCACGGGUGAGUAACGCGUAUCCAACCUGCCCUUUACUCGGGGAUAGCCUUCUGAAAGGAAGUUUAAUACCCGAUGAAUUCGUUCAGUCGCAUGGCUUGAUGAAGAAAGAUUUAUCGGUAAAGGAUGGGGAUGCGUCCCAUUAGCUUGUUGGCGGGGUAACGGCCCACCAAGGCGACGAUGGGUAGGGGUUCUGAGAGGAAGGUCCCCCACAUUGGAACUGAGACACGGUCCAAACUCCUACGGGAGGCAGCAGUGAGGAAUAUUGGUCAAUGGGCGCGAGCCUGAACCAGCCAAGUAGCGUGGAGGACGACGGCCCUACGGGUUGUAAACUCCUUUUAUAAGGGGAUAAAGUUGGCCAUGUAUGGCCAUUUGCAGGUACCUUAUGAAUAAGCAUCGGCUAAUUCCGUGCCAGCAGCCGCGGUAAUACGGAAGAUGCGAGCGUUAUCCGGAUUUAUUGGGUUUAAAGGGAGCGUAGGCGGGCAGUCAAGUCAGCGGUCAAAUGGCGCGGCUCAACCGCGUUCCGCCGUUGAAACUGGCAGCCUUGAGUAUGCACAGGGUACAUGGAAUUCGUGGUGUAGCGGUGAAAUGCUUAGAUAUCACGAGGAACUCCGAUCGCGCAGGCAUUGUACCGGGGCAUUACUGACGCUGAGGCUCGAAGGUGCGGGUAUCAAACAGGAUUAGAUACCCUGGUAGUCCGCACAGUAAACGAUGAAUGCCCGCUGUCGGCGACAUAGUGUCGGCGGCCAAGCGAAAGCGUUAAGCAUUCCACCUGGGGAGUACGCCGGCAACGGUGAAACUCAAAGGAAUUGACGG
rnacentral:rRNA from 1 species